UAUAGGGGAGCCGCAGGGAAACCGAGUCUUAACUGGGCGUUAAGUUGCAGGGUAUAGACCCGAAACCCGGUGAUCUAGCCAUGGGCAGGUUGAAGGUUGGGUAACACUAACUGGAGGACCGAACCGACUAAUGUUGAAAAAUUAGCGGAUGACUUGUGGCUGGGGGUGAAAGGCCAAUCAAACCGGGAGAUAGCUGGUUCUCCCCGAAAGCUAUUUAGGUAGCGCCUCGUGAA
rnacentral:rRNA from 1 species